rnacentral:lncRNA from 1 species
CAAGAUUAAAUUUAACCUGGAUCAAACUAUGUACAUAAAAAGGAAAAACAACUAAAAUGUGUCAUCAAGGGGAUUUGAACAAUGGUUUAGAAGGUCAGAUGCUGAACUUAACCAGGAGAGCUAAUAAUUUUUCAUUGUUUUUAUGGACAAAAUAAUAUUUAUACAGAUUUAAGGGGUUGCAGGUGGCACUCCAUUGAUGUACAUAGGUCCGCCACUGCCUUAGGGUUAACUAAUCUAGACUUAGAGUUUAGAGUUGAGGAGUGGAGUGGGGUUUUUGGAAUGUGAAAUUUAUUAUUCUAAUAAAUAUAUAAAUACUUAAAAAAUAUAUAAAUUUUUUUUAAAAAAAUAGUUUCAAACAUAAUUUUCGUUUUUCAAAAAGAAAUUUGAAAAAAAAAAAUAAAAAAAAAUCAAUAAAAAAAUUCAAAAAAAGUUUACAUUUUUUUUUUUUACUUUUUUUACUUUUUUAUAUUUUUUAUAUUUUUUUAUCUUUUUAUUUUAUUUUAUACUUUUUUUUUGCUUAUUUUUAUUUAAAUAAUAAUUUAUUAUAUAUAUAAAUAACAAGGACAUAAGAGUCUUUUACCACUUAAUGAAAAAAAGUAUUUUUGAAAAUGUCUCAUUAGUGGUGGUAAAAAUGAAAAAUGGUUUCAUGAAAGUGGUAUCAUGAAAGUGGUAAACAUGUAAUUUCCCCCAUAAUCAAUGCUGGGUAGUCAAUAGAUAAACAUUUUGAGGAUUUGUAGAGCUUUUAAGGAAAAUUAUAAUUAAGUACUUUAAGUUGUUUUCUAAAAAAAAUUAAAUAAAAAUUAAUAAGUGCAAUACAAAAUAUUUGUAGGUCAGUAGGUGUCAAAUAUAACAUGAGUAAUGAAUAUGUUUUCCAUAAACAAAAAAAAAAAAGAGAAUAAAUAAUUAAAUUUUGAGUGUCGUACGUCGUCAUACGAAAUCAGGAACGGACCAAGCUGCAUGUGUACGGUCGCCAUGGUGACUUUAGAGUGGACUGAUGAGUCAGUCACCAAUUCGACUUUUCCCUUUUCCUGAUUUGGCUUCUUUUUAAUAUAUCACGAGACCAAUAUCUCACAUUGUUUUUUUCUACCUUUUAUUUCAUAAGCAUCUAAGAAAAUGUGAACUUCAUAACUAAUUACAGGCAUAUACGGAAUAUGCCAACGGAUAUGCUGAUUAGCUUCAUAUAUACGUAUAGUUUCUCUUCUCCUUUAGUUUACACUUGUAAGAUACAAACAAUUUGAGACUAAAUAAAAAUAAAUUCUCUAGUAUAGUCUUUUUUUUUUAAUUUGUCACAAAAAAAUUUCAACGAAGAAAAUGACUAAAAUAAGUUUUAUUAAAAAUUUUAUCCUAGGAUUAACUAAUCUAGACUUAAGAUUUAAAGUUAAUGGGUGUGAAUUUGGAGAUAGAGUUUCAAAUUAAAAAAAAAAACCAAAAAAUAAAUAUUAAAAAUUAAAAAAAAACUAUUUUGGUCAUUUUUUUUUAAAGCUAUUUUUGUGACAAAAACUUAAAAGACUUAUUUGAGAGAAUUGUCUUUAAAUAAAUCAAAACACGGGGAAUUCUAAUAAUAAAAACAGUAUAAUUACCGUAGGGGAGAAAACAUUUUUCUUGAGAUAUCCAAGCAAGUAGGAGACUUUUCUGCAAAUGGAUUCAAAGUAAACACUAUUGUUUAGCAACUAGCCUUAGAAAAUUAUAUAUUAGUGAGUUAUCGAAAACAAAAGUUUCUGGUGAAAAGAAGAAAACUCCCCAAGAAUUGUGGAAGGAGCUAGAAAUAACACAGCUUUUUGAACCUUUG